ACCAAUGAUUAGGAACCAGUUGAGGGUUGAUAGAUCUCCUGGUUGCUAAAAUCAAAUACCCAUCUUUGUGCACCUUUUUUUAUGUCUCUGGUGGGUCGCAAGAGAAGUCUCUUAUUUGGAGGAUCUCUUCUAGUUCAUUUUGAUCCUCGGACAAAUGAAUGAAGCCACCAAAUGGUUUGCUAUAACACACUUUUUUGCCGGUCCAAAAUAUCUGUCUAACAUUGAUUUUGUGUAAAAUACAUAAAAA
rnacentral:misc_RNA from 1 species